rnacentral:lncRNA from 1 species
GUUUGCUCCCUUGAACUCUUCCCUGCAAACUGCUGGUCUGGAGAAGAGGAAUGGUAUUGGUGAAGGGGGUGGGAAAAGGGAAACUCUGAAGCUCACGGCUUCUCAGAAACACUGAAAAAGCUGGCAAACUGCAGAACGAAUUUUCUCAGCACUCUAGAAACAGUUAAAGGUCAACAGGACUCAAACACUUAGGAGAAGGAAUGAGAGAAUGAGAGAGACUUGUGGCACUUCAACUUGUCACUGUCCGAUCCCUUCUCCCCAGUUUGGCAGAGAGGUGGGUCAGAGAUGCCAGGGCAGAGGCACAGUGUGGGUUCCUGGCUCUAGGAAGAGAGGAGUGGACCUUGAUCUGGGUGUUCUGAGGAACCGAAGCAGGCCAAGGACUUGCCUUUGUGGCACCUGUUGGUGCUCUCUCAAAACAGAGAAGUGGCUUCAGAAAGACAUGCCUCAAGGACAAUGAAACACAAAAUAAAAAGCUGCAGCUGCCUGGGGGCAAAAAAAUGAACAUUUGGGUAAAGAAGAAGUGUCUGGAAGAAAAAGUUGGUGAGUGAGAUUCUUAGGCAAAUAGAGAUUUUGAAAAGCUCCCAUGCAUACCAGGAAUCUUAAGGCUAUGUUCAUGCCCAGGACAGGACACGUACUUAGAAAAGACCCAAGAGGAGCUUAAGACGUCUUCUUUUGCCGAUGUUUAAGCUUAGCACAGGAAGGAGGGGAGGGUUGAGACAGAGCAGUAAACACUGGAGUGCCCCAAAUCCAGAGCCAAUGUGCAGACUGGGAGGUUCUUCGCCACCCCCACCAAACCUGUCUCCUCUCCUCUUUUCUCCUUUUCAUUUCUCACGUUUCUUUUUCCCUCUGUGAUCCUCUCCUUCUCUCCUCCCUCCUUCCCCUGCCUCCUUUUCCUUUUCUACUCCUCCGCCCUACCUCCUUUUCUGCCACACCUCUUUCUCUUUCACCUUCUUUGGAAUUCUCUGUCAAACCACUGACUGAAAACUAAAUGGAAGGAACAAAGAUCUGAGAGAUCAUAUAUGAUAAAGAGUAUAGUCUUUACAAAAGUAGGUUAGAAUAGCAUCAAGUGUACCAC